rnacentral:rRNA from 1 species
ACGGGAGGCAGCAGUGAGGAAUAUUGGUCAAUGGGCGGAAGCCUGAACCAGCCAUGCCGCGUGAAGGAAGACGGCCCUAUGGGUUGUAAACUUCUUUUGUACGAGAGCAAUAAGGGCCACGUGUGGUCCGAUGAGAGUAUCGUACGAAUAAGCAUCGGCUAACUCCGUGCCAGCAGCCGCGGUAAUACGGAGGAUGCGAGCGUUAUCCGGAUUUAUUGGGUUUAAAGGGUGCGUAGGCGGUUUGGUAAGUCAGCGGUGAAAUGCAUAUGCUUAACAUAUGACGUGCCGUUGAAACUGCUGGGCUUGAAUGCGGAUGCCGUGGGAGGAAUGUGUGGUGUAGCGGUGAAAUGCAUAGAUAUCACACAGAACACCGAUUGCGAAGGCAUCUCACGAAUCCGCGAUUGACGCUGAGGCACGAAAGUGUGGGGAUCAAACAGGAUUAGAUACCCUGGUA